GCUUAUUUAUUAUAAAUUACAUUAAUUUUAAUUUCCAAUUAGAAAAUCCUUGUCGAUCCAAGGAAUAGGCU
rnacentral:tRNA from 1 species